AUUGAACGCUGGCGGCAUGCUUUACACAUGCAAGUCGAACGGUAACAGGCCGCAAGGUGCUGACGAGUGGCGAACGGGUGAGUAAUUCAUCGGAACGUGCCCAGUCGUGGGGGAUAACUACUCGAAAGAGUAGCUAAUACCGCAUACGAUCUAUGGAUGAAAGCGGGGGACCGUAAGGCCUCGCGCGAUUGGAGCGGCCGAUGUCAGAUUAGGUAGUUGGUGGGGUAAAGGCUCACCAAGACAACGAUCUGUAGCUGGUCUGAUAGGACGACCAGCCACACUGGGACUGAGACACGGCCCAGACUCCUACGGGAGGCAGCAGUGGGGAAUUUUGGACAAUGGGCGCAAGCCUGAUCCAGCAAUGCCGCGUGAAGGAAGAAGGCCUUCGGGUUGUAAACUGCGUUUGUACGGAACGAAACGGCUCUGGUUAAUACCCGGGGCUAAUGACGGUACCGUAAGAAUAAGCACCGGCUAACUACGUG
rnacentral:rRNA from 1 species